rnacentral:rRNA from 1 species
GACGAACGCUGGCGGCGUGCCUAAUACAUGCAAGUAGAACGCUGAAGAGAGGAGCUUGCUCUUCUUGGAUGAGUUGCGAACGGGUGAGUAACGCGUAGGUAACCUGCCUUGUAGCGGGGGAUAACUAUUGGAAACGAUAGCUAAUACCGCAUAACAAUGGAUGACACAUGUCAUUUAUUUGAAAGGGGCAAUUGCUCCACUACAAGAUGGACCUGCGUUGUAUUAGCUAGUAGGUGAGGUAACGGCUCACCUAGGCGACGAUACAUAGCCGACCUGAGAGGGUGAUCGGCCACACUGGGACUGAGACACGGCCCAGACUCCUACGGGAGGCAGCAGUAGGGAAUCUUCGGCAAUGGGGGCAACCCUGACCGAGCAACGCCGCGUGAGUGAAGAAGGUUUUCGGAUCGUAAAGCUCUGUUGUAAGUCAAGAACGAGUGUGAGAGUGGAAAGUUCACACUGUGACGGUAGCUUACCAGAAAGGGACGGCUAACUACGUGCCAGCAGCCGCGGUAAUACGUAGGUCCCGAGCGUUGUCCGGAUUUAUUGGGCGUAAAGCGAGCGCAGGCGGUUUGAUAAGUCUGAAGUUAAAGGCUGUGGCUCAACCAUAGUUCGCUUUGGAAACUGUCAAACUUGAGUGCAGAAGGGGAGAGUGGAAUUCCAUGUGUAGCGGUGAAAUGCGUAGAUAUAUGGAGGAACACCGGUGGCGAGAGCGGCUCUCUGGUCUGUAACUGACGCUGAGGCUCGAAAGCGUGGGGAGCGAACAGGAUUAGAUACCCUGGUAGUCCACGCCGUAAACGAUGAGUGCUAGGUGUUGGAUCCUUUCCGGGAUUCAGUGCCGCAGCUAACGCAUUAAGCACUCCGCCUGGGGAGUACGACCGCAAGGUUGAAACUCAAAGGAAUUGACGGGGGCCCGCACAAGCGGUGGAGCAUGUGGUUUAAUUCGAAGCAACGCGAAGAACCUUACCAGGUCUUGACAUCCCGAUGCUAUUUCUAGAGAUAGAAAGUUACUUCGGUACAUCGGUGACAGGUGGUGCAUGGUUGUCGUCAGCUCGUGUCGUGAGAUGUUGGGUUAAGUCCCGCAACGAGCGCAACCCCUAUUGUUAGUUGCCAUCAUUCAGUUGGGCACUCUAGCGAGACUGCCGGUAAUAAACCGGAGGAAGGUGGGGAUGACGUCAAAUCAUCAUGCCCCUUAUGACCUGGGCUACACACGUGCUACAAUGGUUGGUACAACGAGUUGCGAGUCGGUGACGGCAAGCUAAUCUCUUAAAGCCAAUCUCAGUUCGGAUUGUAGGCUGCAACUCGCCUACAUGAAGUCGGAAUCGCUAGUAAUCGCGGAUCAGCACGCCGCGGUGAAUACGUUCCCGGGCCU